rnacentral:rRNA from 1 species
UACAGAGGUGGCAAGCGUUGUUCGGAAUUACUGGGCGUAAAGGGCGCGUAGGCGGUCUUGCAAGUCCUGUGUGAAAUCCCUCGGCUCAACUGAGGAACUGCACAGGAAACUGCUUGGCUUGAGUUCGGGAGAGGGAAGCGGAAUUCCGGGUGUAGCAGUGAAAUGCGUAGAUAUCGUAAGGAAGACCAGUGGCGAAGGCGGAUCUCUGGACAGUUACUGACACUGAGGCACGAAGGCCAGGGGAGCAAACGGG